rnacentral:lncRNA from 1 species
UAGCCAAAAAUCCAAAAAUAUGUCUAGUGUAGCUUUGUUUCUUUUGUAGGAAGUGUGUGUGUCCAUUUGUACCUCAUCAAGCUCACAACUAGGGUUUGAGACUCUCAAUGCAAGGGAUCUGGUUAGAAAAGGUCCACAUUGGUUUAAAGCAUCAUAUAUGGAUCCCCAUGUUCUUUAUUUGUCAUUUUGAUCAAGAAUUCAUCAAGAAAUUGAAGCUUGUUUGUCAUGGAAGCCCUAAUUCACCUGGGUAUCUUAUG